UACAGAGGUCUCAAGCGUUGUUCGGAUUCAUUGGGCGUAAAGGGUGCGUAGGCGGCGCGGUAAGUCGGGUGUGAAAUCUCGGAGCUUAACUCCGAAACUGCAUUCGAUACUGCCGUGCUUGAGGACUGGAGAGGAGACUGGAAUUUACGGUGUAGCGGUGAAAUGCGUAGAUAUCGAGAGGAACACCAGUGGCGAAGGCGAGUCUCUGGACGACUCCUGACACUGAGGCACGAAAGCUAGGGGAGCAAACAGG
rnacentral:rRNA from 1 species